rnacentral:rRNA from 1 species
AUGGUGCAGCAACUAGAACGUGAUGAAUAUUUUACCCAUGGUCUUGCCCACUGUGAAAUUUAUUUGGAGAAGUUUGCACUGUUGUGGAAGAAGGAGAAACACAGUUCAAAUAAUUCAAUUGUUACUGUCAUUGCUUCCUUCAGACAUAGCAACAACAUUUGUUCUUUUCAGAACGUCCUAUUACUUACCUGGGUGGAUUACUUGGAAACUUUCUCUGUCCUUGCACGUUUGAAUCUGGAUACUCAUUGGUGCAGGGGAACAAGCGUCGAGCCCAGUACGGUGGAUGUGUAUCAAGCUGGAUAUCAGUCCUAUGAGCUCCAUUCAGAUUAUCUUCUCUUUUGUGCUAUCGAGUUGUUUGGGUCUCACUGGAGCAUCUACCAGCUGUUAACACCUUGGGACCCUGGAGGGAUUGCAUUGUGGCUGUUAUUGAAAUGGACUCGACAAACGGUUUUUCAAGUCGGGCGGGGUGUCAUUGCUAUCAUUGUCAGCUUUCCGCCAGGCUCCGACUUCGGCAACUACAACGACGCCGCCGCCUUCGGCUUCCUUUGCCAGGUGCUCCUUUGCCGCGACCCCGUCGACUCGCCGCUCCGCGACGAAGGGCCCAACUCCCAAGCUGAUCGCCAAGUGGGUUCUGUUCCAGCAGCCCGCCUGCUCAGCCUCGGCCUGCCCAACUACGGCCGCCUCGCCGACUUCUUCCGCGACGCCGGCAAGGCGGUGAUCGACGAGGGCGAGCGGCUGGGCAUCGCGCGGGAGGAGGCGGUGCACAACAUCCUCUUUGCCAUGUGCUUCAACUCCUUCGGCGGCAUGAGGAUCCUGUUCCUGUCGCUGGUGAAGUGGCCGGGCCGCGCGCACCCGGCCGCCUCGCGAUGGAGGUGCGCGCCGCCGUGA